GAUGAACGCUAGCGGCAGGCUUAACACAUGCAAGUCGAGGGGUAUAGUUCUUCGGAGCUAGAGACCGGCGCACGGGUGCGUAACGCGUAUGCAAUCUACCUUUUGCAGAGGGAUAGCCCAGAGAAAUUUGGAUUAAUACCUCAUGGUAUGUGAGAAUGGCAUCAUUUUCACAUUAAAGUCACAACGGCAAAAGAUGAGCAUGCGUACCAUUAGCUAGUUGGUAAGGUAACGGCUUACCAAGGCAACGAUGGGUAGGGGUCCUGAGAGGGCGAUCCCCCGCACUGGUACUGAGACACGGACCAGACUCCUACGGGAGGCAGCAGUGAGGAAUAUUGGACAAUGGGCGCAAGCCUGAUCCAGCCAUGCCGCGUGCAGGAUGACGGUCCUAUGGAUUGUAAACUGCUUUUGUACAGGAAGAAACACUGGUUCGUGAACCAGCUUGACGGUACUGUAAGAAUAAGGAUCGGCUAACUCCGUGCCAGCAGCCGCCGUAAGAC
rnacentral:rRNA from 1 species